UUUGUCUAAUUUUUUCAAAGCUAGAUUUCUAUUGAUUUUAUAACGCAAGUUUCAGGUAUUAAAGGAAGAUAGAAGUUGAUUUUUUUUUUUUUUCUAACAGGAAAAAGAAUACAAGGAAGUCCAGGAUAUAUUCAACGAAAAAAGCAAUGAGAAAGCUCAGCUGCUCGCUACACUAAUGGAGCUGUUGGGGCAGAGUGAGAAAUGGAGGAUGAAAAAGCUCGAGGAAUUGAAUAAGAAUAUAGAAUCAAUGAACUGAACGAUGAGUACAUUAAACGAAGAAGGAAUAUAUGAAUGAGUAUAAUUGUUUCUUGUCA